GCGGGUGUGGUGAAAUUGGUAGACACGCCAGAUUUAGGUUCUGGUGGCCAAGCCGUGGGGGUUCGAGUCCCUUCACCCGCA
rnacentral:tRNA from 2 species